rfam:Camelus ferus unplaced genomic scaffold scaffold1107, whole genome shotgun sequence.
GAGGGUGUAGCUCAGUAGUAGAGCGCCUGCUUAGCAUGCACAAGGUCCUGAGUUCAAUCCCCGGUACCUCCA